GACGAACGCUGGCGGCGUGCCUAAUACAUGCAAGUCGAACGCUGAAGGAGGAGCUUGCUUCUCUGGAUGAGUUGCGAACGGGUGAGUAACGCGUAGGUAACCUGCCUGGUAGCGGGGGAUAACUAUUGGAAACGAUAGCUAAUACCGCAUAAUAGUAGAUGUUGCAUGACAUUUGCUUAAAAGGUGCAAUUGCAUCACUACCAGAUGGACCUGCGUUGUAUUAGCUAGUUGGUGAGGUAACGGCUCACCAAGGCAACGAUACAUAGCCGACCUGAGAGGGUGAUCGGCCACACUGGGACUGAGACACGGCCCAGACUCCUACGGGAGGCAGCAGUAGGGAAUCUUCGGCAAUGGACGGAAGUCUGACCGAGCAACGCCGCGUGAGUGAAGAAGGUUGUCGGAUCGUAAAGCUCUGUUGUAAGAGAAGAACGAGUGUGAGAGUGGAAAGUUCACACUGUGACGGUAGCUUACCAGAAAGGGACGGCUAACUACGUG
rnacentral:rRNA from 1 species